rnacentral:rRNA from 1 species
UACGUAGGGUGCAAGCGUUGUCCGGAAUUAUUGGGCGUAAAGAGCUCGUAGGCGGUCUGUCGCGUCUGCUGUGAAAACUCGGGGGCUCAACCCCGAGCCUGCAGUCGAUACGGGGCAGACUAGAGUGCUGUAGGGGAGACUGGAAUUCCUGGUGUAGCGGUGAAAUGCGCAGAUAUCAGGAGGAACACCGGUGGCGAAGGCGGGUCUCUGGGGCAGUAACUGACGCUGAGGAGCGAAAGCGUGGGGAGCGAACAGG